rnacentral:lncRNA from 1 species
UCUUAUCUAUUAAAAGAGAAGUCACAACUUCUUUUCAUGUGUGAUUUUUUAAAAAUUGGACUUAUUGGACCUAUUACUAGAAUGUCAUAUAACAUAACCACAUACCCUUCCAAUCUUUUAAUGAAAUUAUCUUGACUCGCGUAAUAAUGGGGAGAUCCACCUACCGUUCGUUUUAUAGUAGAUCUAAAUAUAUAGAAGCAAAAUAUCUCAAAAUUAUCUUGACUCGCGUAAUAAUGGGGAGAUCCACCUACUGUUCGUUUUAUAGUAGAUCCACCUGCAAAUAUAUAGAAGCAAAAUAUCUCAAUAGAUACGGUUUUUCUAGAUUUCUUGCUUGGAUUCAUCUUGGUUAGCUGGGCUUAUCAUUCCUCACGAUCUUCCUCACAAUAUAAUUCCUUGGCUUUCCUUGGAGCCUGUUUGUAAUUUAAAACUGUUAAGAGAAUAAAUUUUGAAGUCAAUCAUUGAACUUUGUAACUAAUUUAUAGAUGAUACAGAACUUACCUAUACUGUUUGAGACGCCUAACCCAUGUACGAGCUCUGAUUCUUGAUCUCAAGAUCAUUUAACAGCUCCUCUGCAGAGAUCUUCCAUAUCAGUCAUCUUCAAGCUGAUUCUCUGCAGAGAUUACAAAAACAGAGCUUAAGAAACCAUAACACUCUCAAUAAGUCAAUUUUUAUACUUUACCUGCACUUAUAGUGAAUGGAGUUAGGCGUCUUUUAAUGAUUUUUGGUUGUGGUAAGCUCCAUUACCAUUUCUUCAGGUAUCCAUCAGAUUAAACUUUCCUGCGAGCAAAUAAAAGAGCAUUUAGUUGUCCAUCAAACUAUCAGUAACUGUCAAACGUCAUGUUCUUUGGCACUAAAUAACACAAAACUAAAAAGUGAACAUAAUAUUGUCCUAUGGUUAAGUUCCUUUGUCAUUGAGUCUGGUUUCUUUGUCAGACGUUGAUAAAAACACCUAUGAUUAAGUUCCUUUGUCAUUGAUAUCAGUUUCCAUGUAACCUGUGUAUUAAUAGUCAAGCUCAAUCGAGAAUUGUUCAAAUUCUUUUGACCAGAGUUUCAGCAAGUGUUCAAUAUAUACGAUUUGAUUCUAAAUUCAUCAGAUAACAGGAAAAAAAAAACGAAUUGAAAGAGAAUUCACAGGGGUAAUAUAAACUGAUCUUAUUUAUUCAUAUUAUAAAAGAAUAGGAGUUUCAAAAAGAAAAUAAUUCACCUCUGUUUUCAGGUACUGAUCGGAAUUGCAUAUUAAAUUAUAUUAGGGUAGAGCUCCAUAUAUUCUUCCGCUGAGGUUUUCAUAUCUCCUUCGAAACAGUACCGAUCUCCGUCUACACAUAUUUGAUAGAUUAAAUCAAUUGAAAAAAUAAACAGAGGUGAACUAAAAUAACCGAAACUAAAACCGUUAUAAAUAGACAUGCUUACUUGAUCUUGGUCGGGAGUCAAGAGAGGAUGGUGUCUGAGAGACGGAUUUAGUCGAUCAAAUAGCUCGAGGAUCGUAGUUAGGAUCAUGUCUAGGUUAAAGAGAAGACAUAAACCAAAGAAAAUGGUUAGGUAGAGAGACACGUUUUUUUCCCGGAGAAAAAUCUGUUAACUGAUCAUUUUGGGC